AGUGAACGCUGGCGGUAGGCCUAACACAUGCAAGUCGAACGGCAGCACAGUAAGAGCUUGCUCUUACGGGUGGCGAGUGGCGGACGGGUGAGGAAUACAUCGGAAUCUACUUUUUCGUGGGGGAUAACGUAGGGAAACUUACGCUAAUACCGCAUACGACCUACGGGUGAAAGCAGGGGAUCUUCGGACCUUGUGCGAUUGAAUGAGCCGAUGUCGGAUUAGCUAGUUGGCGGGGUAAAGGCCCACCAAGGCGACGAUCCGUAGCUGGUCUGAGAGGAUGCGCCCCCACCCCUUGGGGGAGACACGGGGGGGAAUUCUAGGGGAGGGGGCAGUGGCCAAUACCAGCCAUUCGGCGGGGGCGAAAACCACCUUUGGCUUGUGAGUCCUUUUUGUGGGAAAAAAAAAAAGCCGUUUUACCCCCCAUCUUUUUGGCAGUACCCAAAAAAAAAGCCCCGGCUAACUUCCGG
rnacentral:rRNA from 1 species